UGAUCCUGGCUCAGGAUGAACGCUGGCGGCGUGGAUGAGGCAUGCAAGUCGAAUGGGUUUAGACCCAUGGCAGACGGGGUAGGAACAGGUAGGUACGUACCGUAGAGUCACGGAUACUCUGGUGAAAAUCAGCAUAAUACGUGAUGGUCCCUUCGGGGUAAAGAUUUAUCGCUCUAUGAACGGCCUGCUUUCUAUCAGCUUGUUGGUACGGUAACGGCGUACCAAGGCUACGACGGAUAGGGGAGGUGAGAGCCUGACCCCCACCAUUGGAACUGAGACACUGUCCAAACUCCUACGGGAGGCUGCAGUCGAGAAUCUUCCGCAAUGGGCGAAAGCCUGACGGAGCGACGCCGCGUGGUGGAUGAAGUACCUAGGUACGUAAACACCUUUUAUGAGUGAAGAAGUAUAUUGACAUUAACUCAUGAAUAAGGGGCUCCUAACUCUGUGCCAGCAGGAGCGGUAAUACAGAGGCCCCAAGCGUUAUCCGGAUUCACUGGGCGUAAAGGGUGCGUAGGCGGUGGUAUUAGUCGGGCGUUAAAUCCUUGGGCUCAACCCAAGAAUCGCGUUCGAAACGGUACCACUAGAAGUAGUCAGAGGCUAACAGAGCUCUCGGUGUAGGGGUGAAAUCCGUUGAUAUCGAGGGAAAUACCAAAUGCGAAGGCAGUUAGCUGGGGCUCACUUGACGCUGAGGCACGAAAGCGUGGGUAGCGAACGGGAUUAGAUACCCCGGUAGU
rnacentral:rRNA from 1 species